AGUGAACGCUGGCGGUAGGCCUAACACAUGCAAGUCGAACGGCAGCACAGUAAGAGCUUGCUCUUACGGGUGGCGAGUGGCGGACGGGUGAGGAAUACAUCGGAACCUACUUUUUCGUGGGGGAUAACGUAGGGAAACUUACGCUAAUACCGCAUACGACCUACGGGUGAAAGCAGGGGAUCUUCGGACCUUGCGCGAUUGAAUGAGCCGAUGUCGGAUUAGCUAGUUGGCGGGGUAAAGGCCCACCAAGGCGACGAUCCGUAGCUGGUCUGAGAGGAUGAUCAGCCACACUGGAACUGAGACACGGUCCAGACUCCUACGGGAGGCAGCAGUGGGGAAUAUUGGACAAUGGGCGCAAGCCUGAUCCAGCCAUACCGCGUGGGUGAAGAAGGCCUUCGGGUUGUAAAGCCCUUUUGUUGGGAAAGAAAAGCAGCAGGUGAAUACCCCGCUGUUCUGACGGUACCCAAAGAAUAAGCACCGGCUAACUUCGUG
rnacentral:rRNA from 1 species